UCUUCGGGCCCGUGCAAUGAAGUCCCGUGAACCCUGUCAGGUCCGAGAGGAAGCAGCAGUAAACGGUAAACUUCAUGUGCCACGGUAUCUUCGAAGGCU
rnacentral:SRP_RNA from 1 species